GCAGGGUCCAAUUAGAUAGAUUCACAGGUCAAAAGUGACAAGUUAGUGUAAUGUCUGUCACGAGAGAAUACCUGCACAAGAUCCACCUCCACAGCCUUUGAUGGCAUGAUAUUUUCUGGUUUGCUCCAGCUGUUUUGUUGCUGCUUCUUGUCUAAUUUUCAGACAGUUUAUAAAUGAACUUAGUUCAUAUUCUGCUUAUGUUACUUUUUCCGGCUAAAUGUUUACAGGAUGACACAGGGGCACAACUCUUGCCAGUUAGUGGCUCCCCUGGGCACCCAGAGAAACAGAGGUAACCUAUUUUCUUUGGCAAGGUUGAGCAGUCACACGGAGACUGUGUUUGUGUUGUUUGAUUGCAUUGCUCCUUUAGGCUUCUUUCUCUUCUUUAAUCUAUCUUUUUCUUUUUUCCUUUUUGUCUCUUUGCCAAGAUUUUCUCAACUUUUACCUCCAUUACUGCUUUUCUUUGAUUUCUCUUAGAAUUUCCUUAUUGCUUUGUCUUCAUUUUCCUCCCUUCCCGUCCCUCUUUUUCACCAUCCACUGUCACACAGCGACAAAGGGGAGAGGUAUUGCUUUGCUGUGUGUUUGCCUGCUUGGUUGCAGGGUUUGUUGUCAGUAAAUGAGGUCAUUAGAAGACACUCUGACCUAACCAAAGGCAUUUGUUCAGCAUGCUGUAUUUUUUUAAUGCUUUUCUUCUUAUAAAUAUACACCUCUGAUGGAAUGGCCAGAUGCUGGGAUCAUUAACAUGUCAUUAUAUCACCCAACAAAUUAGCAUGAAAAAUUUCUUGCCGCGUUCCCUUCACCUCUCUAAACACUACAUACAGUACAGAGAGGUGCAGAUAACUUUCAAUCUGUAUUUCGGGAUUGGCUAUCUACUCUCUCUUUCUUUUUCGGAUGUGCCUACUCCUUUUCUCCAUCCCCUCCUGACUUCUUUCCUUGAUGUAUUGGUACAUCUUGCAGCAGGAUGACACCUUUAUGUGUGCCUCGGGGCCUUUGGAUCAUCUCUCUCUGUGGCACGAAGCCAGAUCCCCGAUGACACCUGUGAGCCUUGGCAGAGCUCCUGGUUUACAGUAGUUGUUAG
ensembl:lncRNA